UGGGGAAUUUUGGACAAUGGGGGCAACCCUGAUCCAGCCAUGCCGCGUGUGUGAAGAAGGCCUUCGGGUUGUAAAGCACUUUCGGCCGGAACGAAAUCGCGCGAUCUAACAAGUCGCGUGGAUGACGGUACCGGAAGAAGAAGCACCGGCUAACUACGUGCCAGCAGCCGCGGUAAUACGUAGGGUGCGAGCGUUAAUCGGAAUUACUGGGCGUAAAGUGUGCGCAGGCGGCUGAGCAAGUCGAGUGUGAAAGCCCCGAGCUUAACUUGGGAAUUGCGCUCGAAACUACUUGGCUGGAGUGUGGCAGAGGGAGGUGGAAUUCCACGUGUAGCGGUGAAAUGCGUAGAGAUGUGGAGGAACACCAAUGGCGAAGGCAGCCUCCUGGGCCAACACUGACGCUCAUGCACGAAAGCGUGGGGAGCAAACAGGAUUAGAUACCCCCGUAGUCC
rnacentral:rRNA from 1 species